CCUGGCUUAGGACGAACGCUGGCGGCGUGCCUAAUACAUGCAAGUCGAACGGUCUUUCUAUGGAAGCUUGCUUCCACUGAGAAGAUAGUGGCGAACGGGUGAGUAACACGUGGGUAACCUGCCCAUAAGAGGGGGAUAACAUCCGGAAACGGGUGCUAAUACCGCAUAGUUUUCUUGAUUGCAUGAUUGAGAAAGGAAAGACGGCCUUUGUGCUGUCGCUUAUGGAUGGACCCGCGGCGUAUUAGUUAGUUGGUGAGGUAACGGCUCACCAAGACGAUGAUACGUAGCCGACCUGAGAGGGUGAUCGGCCACAUUGGGACUGAGACACGGCCCAAACUCCUACGGGAGGCAGCAGUAGGGAAUCUUCCGCAAUGGACGAAAGUCUGACGGAGCAACGCCGCGUGAGUGAAGAAAAGGUUUUCGGAUCGUAAAACUCUGUUGUCAGAGAAGAACAAGUUGGAGAGUAACUGCUCCAGCCUUGACGGUAUCUGACCAGAAAGCCACGGCUAACUACGUGCCAGCAGCCGC
rnacentral:rRNA from 1 species